CCUACGGGAGGCAGCAGUGGGGAAUAUUGGGCAAUGGGCGCAAGCCUGACCCAGCAACGCCGCGUGAAGGAAGAAGGCUUUCGGGUUGUAAACUUCUGUUGACAGGGAAGAGUAGAAGACGGUACCUGUCGAAUAAGCCACGGCGAACUACGUGCCAGCAGCCGCGGGAAUACGUAGGUGGCAAGCGUUGUCCGGAUUUACUGGGGGUAAAGGGCGUGUAGCCGGGUUGACAAGUCAGAUGUGAAAUCCUGCGGCUUAACCGCAGAACUGCAUUUGAAACUGUUGAUCUUGAGUACUGGAGAGGCAGACGGAAUUCCUAGUGUAGCGGUGAAAUGCGUAGAUAUUAGGAGGAACACCAGUGGCGAAGGCGGUCUGCUGGACAGCAACUGACGGUGAGGCGCGAAAGCGUGGGUAGCAAACAGGAUUAGAUACCCUUGUAGUC
rnacentral:rRNA from 1 species